CUACUCCCUCCGUCCCAUAAUAAGUGGCCACAUUCUUUUCGGCACGGAGAUUAAGAAAUGAAGUGUUAUGUUUUAAUUGAGUGGGGUCCAUGAAAAUUAUUGAGUUAAUUAAAAUAAUUUCUUCUUCCUUUCACUUUCUUCUUCAUCCACUGCCACCCACCUCCUCCGGCGAAGUCGCCGGCAUCAGCCACCCCCUCCUCCGGCGAAGUCGCCGGCAUCAGCCACCCCUCCUCCGGCAAAGUCGCCGGCAUCAGCCACCCCUUCCUCCAGCGAAGUCGCCGCCACCCUCUUCUCCCUCUGUCCCCCUCGUCUCCCUCCCAAUCUGCCAACAACCACCACCACCGCCGCCAACAACCACCACCACCACCGCCACUCAAAAACCAGAAAUCAAAACCAGAUCUUGCACACAGGACCUGUGACGACCAUAUCUUGCUUUCUAAAAACCAGAAAUCAAAACCAGAAAUCUGAAAGAGAAUAAAGGGAAACGAGAGGGAGGAGAUUCCGGCGAGCAGUCCGCUGUCGGCAGCAGCUGCUCAGCCGUCCUUUGCCAGCUCCGAAACAGCAGCAACGGCGGCGAUUCCGGGCGAGCAGUGGCAGCUCCAGGCGGCGACUCUGGGCGAAGCAGCGGCUCUAGACACCGGCGUCUCACGCCGGAUCUUCGCCGGCCUCAGGCGGCGGCGGCAGAACCUAGAGAAGAGAGAGGGAGAGAUGCGCCGCUUGAUGCGUGAGUGGUGAUUUAGAGAGAAAAGGUGAGAACCGAGAUUGAAAUAGAGAGAGAGAGGAUUUAAUUUGUUAGGGUUUAGUUAGUAACUUAAUUAAUGAUCCUAAUUAAGUUAAAUUAUUUCCAUUUUUAGAAAGCAGCCACUUAUAGUGGGACGGACGAAAAAGGAAAUGUGGCCACUUAUUAUGGGACGGAGGGAGUAU
rnacentral:lncRNA from 1 species